rnacentral:piRNA from 1 species
UGCAAUGUUCCUUCCAACCCAGCUUUGC